UGAGUAACGCGUGAGGAACCUGCCUUGAAGAGGGGGACAACAGUUGGAAACGACUGCUAAUACCGCAUAACGCAUAGGGGUCGCAUGAUCUUUAUGCCAAAGAUUUAUUGCUUCAAGAUGGCCUCGCGUCUGAUUAGCUAGUUGGCGGGGUAACGGCCCACCAAGGCGACGAUCAGUAGCCGGACUGAGAGGUUGAACGGCCACAUUGGGACUGAGAUACGGCCCAGACUCCUACGGGAGGCAGCAGUGGGGAAUAUUGGGCAAUGGGCGCAAGCCUGACCCAGCAACGCCGCGUGAAGGAAGAAGGCUUUCGGGUUGUAAACUUCUUUUAAGAGGGAAGAGUAGAAGACGGUACCUCUAGAAUAAGCCACGGCUAACUACGUGCCAGCAGCCGCGGUAAUACGUAGGUGGCAAGCGUUGUCCGGAUUUACUGGGUGUAAAGGGCGUGCAGCCGGGUCUGCAAGUCAGAUGUGAAAUCCAUGGGCUCAACCCAUGAACUGCAUUUGAAACUGUAGAUCUUGAGUGUCGGAGGGGCAACCGGAAUUCCUAGUGUAGCGGUGAAAUGCGUAGAUAUUAGGAGGAACACCAGUGGCGAAGGCGGAUUGCUGGACGAUAACUGACGGUGAGGCGCGAAAGUGUGGGG
rnacentral:rRNA from 1 species